rnacentral:lncRNA from 1 species
UUCCUGCUGCUCUCUAUAGACUCGAAAUGGAUAACAGUGCAAGACCAGAGCCUAUGGCGCAGAAGAGUCCCUGUGAAGAAUGCCACUCUCCACCUCAUGAUUUGCCCAGGAGGCUAAAAAGAGACAUUACAUACUUUCAGCAGCUCAGUGUAAUGCUCACAAUACUGUCAGAAAAACCAACCCACACUCCAGAGAGCUGA